GGACGUGUAGCUCAAUUGGUUAGAGCAUCUGCUUUACACGCAGAGGGUCGGGGGUUCGAGUCCCUCCACGUCCACCA
rnacentral:tRNA from 2 species